GGGGAUUUAGCUCAGUUGGUAGAGUGUUUGCCUUACCUACUCAAGGCCCUGGGUUCAAUCCCCAGCAUCACCA
rnacentral:tRNA from 1 species